UCCAGACACGCUUACACACAAGAUGGAGACGGCUGGUGAGGAAAAGCGUUCACUUGUCCUUCCCUCUAGGAGCUUCCACAAGGCUGGAUAUCAGGUGGAUACUCACCCAAAAGGCCAGCAGCAAUGGAUCAUGAGACAAAGAGCAUCGCAGCGAGUACAAUGAUGGAGACCACGGGAAGGGCGGAGUCAGUGACCAGUUGCUACGACAACAGAUGAUGGAGGAGUUACAAGGUGACACUGUGGAGUUUGCGGACGACCCAUUGGACGUCUUGCACUACAGAUAAAGGAACACAAUUAAGAAAUAGUGAGUACUGCCGCGUGCAGAGUGUGACUCUUUCCCCAACCAGAACUGUGAUCUGAGCAUGUCAUGUGAUAGGCCUUGUCUAAAGCUAUAGAAUGCAUCUCUUAGUUUUGAUAUUAAUUGCUUUUUAGUGCAGUUAUGACCUCCCAAAAGCAGCUUGCCAAACUACAGUUGCAUCAACAGAUGAUGGAUGAGUUACCUGACACUGGAGGACGGGGACGACUCAUUGGACGUCUUCAUGGCUCCUGGUGUACAGGUGUGAUAAGUGGGUCUGUAAUAUUGUCCAUACAGGCUGAAGUGGAUGGACCAAUAGCCUCUGUCAGUGACUCAGGUGCAUGGUGUACCAUUAUAAUGCUGUGUUCACUUCAGAACCAACUGUUGAUGGCCAACUCGCUGCUGGGCAAAGCUCUAAUCCCUGUACUACUGGUGACAGUGGAGGACCCUGGAGAGCUAGUACAGUGGAGCUGGAGAGCUAGUACAGUGGAGCUGGAGAGCUAGUACAGUGGAGCUGGAGAGCUAGUACAGUGGAGGACCCUGGAGAGCUAGUACAGUGGAGGACACUGGAAAGCUAGUACAGUGGAGGACCUUGGAGAGCUAGUACAGUGGAGGACCCUGGAGAGCUAGUACAGUUGCCUCUCUCAAUGGCUUCAAACACAAUUAUUAACAGGGACUGAAAAUAGUAGGGUCACAGUUGAACCUAAACCUCUUAUUAUCGUUACGUUGUGCUGUAUCCUCAUUUGUUCAUGCCCUCCACACCGUGCACCCACCCACGCAAUGCAGUGGUACUCCCACGCAUAUUGAUUUUUAUUUUAUAACUAUUGUUGUGGUCAAGUAA